rnacentral:rRNA from 1 species
GCAUAUCAAUAAGCGGAGGAAAAGAAACCAACAGGGAUUGCCCUAGUAACGGCGAGUGAAGCGGCAACAGCUCAAAUUUGAAAUCUGGCGCAAGCCCGAGUUGUAAUUUGUAGAGGAUGCUUCUGGGCAGCGGCCGGUCUAAGUUCCUUGGAACAGGACGUCACAGAGGGUGAGAAUCCCGUAUGUGACCGGCGCGCACCCUCCACGUAGCUCCUUCGACGAGUCGAGUUGUUUGGGAAUGCAGCUCUAAAUGGGAGGUAAAUUUCUUCUAAAGCUAAAUACCGGCCAGAGACCGAUAGCGCACAAGUAGAGUGAUCGAAAGAUGAAAAGCACUUUGGAAAGAGAGUUAAAAAGCACGUGAAAUUGUUGAAAGGGAAGCGCUUGCAACCAGACUCCGCGGCGGUGUUCCGCCGGUCUUCUGACCGGUCCACUCGCCGCCGCGGGGCCAACAUCGUCUGGGGCCGCCGGACAAGACUGGAGGAAUGUAGCUCCCUCGGGAGUGUUAUAGCCUUCAGUGAUGCGGCGCGUCCCGGGCGAGGUCCGCGCUUCGGCAAGGAUGUUGGCGUAAUGGUUGCCAGCGGCCCGUCUUGAAACACGGACCAAGGAGUCUAACAUCUAUGCGAGUGUUCGGGUGUCAAACCCCUACGCGUAAUGAAAGUGAACGGAGGUGGGAGCUUCGGCGCACCAUCGACCGAUCCUGAUGUCCUCGGAUGGAUUUGAGUAAGAGCAUAGCUGUUGGGACCCGAAAGAUGGUGAACUAUGCCUGAAUAGGGUGAAGCCAGAGGAAACUCUGGUGGAGGCUCGCAGCGGUUCUGACGUGCAAAUCGAUCGUCAAAUUUGGGUAUAGGGGCGAAAGACUAAUCGAACCAUCUAGUAGCUGGUUCCUGCCGAGU